rnacentral:rRNA from 1 species
CCUACGGGUGGCAGCAGUGGGGAAUAUUGCACAAUGGGGGAAACCCUGAUGCAGCGACGCCGCGUGAGUGAAGAAGUAUCUCGGUACGUAAAGCUCUAUCAGCAGGGAAGAUAAUGACGGUACCUGACCAAGAAGCCCCGGCUAACUCCGUGCCAGCAGCCGCGGUAAUACGGAGGAUCCGAGCGUUAUCCGGAUUUAUUGGGUUUAAAGGGUGCGCAGGCGGAGGCACAAGUCAGCGGUAAAAUCGCGGGGCUCAACCCCGCUCCGCCGUUGAAACUGUGUCCCUUGAGUGCGCGAAGGGUAGGCGGAAUGCGUGGUGUAGCGGUGAAAUGCAUAGAUAUCACGCAGAACUCCGAUCGCGAAGGCAGCCUACCGGCGCGCAACUGACGCUCAUGCACGAAAGCGUGGGUAUCGAACAGGAUUAGAUACCCCAGUAGUC